GUAAACCACUAACCAAAUUAAGACUCAAUCCUUGAACCGAUUCACAGAGUCUUCAAUGGCAAGAUAAUUGAAAUUGAAGCUUCAUAGUCUUACGUCUUUAUUGACUGUCUUAGUCCAAAAAAUUUCAAAGACUUUCACUGAAUCGUGAAGAGACACAAAAAAACAGGUAAAAAUUGACAACGAAUUGAGGUUUGUAAAAAGUUACACUGUAAAAGGAACAAAAGAAGAGAAAAAAAUUGUUAAAUGAUGAAAAUUUGCAAGAAAUUGACACCAUUUUCAAGUGAAAUAUCGCUUUUUUGCUUUCCUUUCCUCUGUAUAUUCAAUUCGUUCACUUUCAGCAAUCAUUGUCAGCUCAGAGUUGAAAAUAGAUUUCAUUUAUUUCAAUGUCUGCAGCUUUGAGUCUUGUAUGGACAUGAGAAGUUAAGAAAAUGUAACUUUCUAUUUGAACUGGUUAGAUCAUUUGUUUGUCUGUCUAUUGUUUAGUAAUUGCUAAUCACAAUUCAUCAGUUAACAUAAGAGUUCACACUUGAAUCACUUUUUCUAGUGAAAAGAUACUUUUUGUUCUUGCUGUAGACGUUAGAAAGUGUGAAAAGAAUAUAAAACGAAGAUAAGAUAAAGGAAUUGUAUUGGCUGAAAAAAGGAUUAGAUGAAAAUGAGUCUUGUUUUUGACACUAAAAAUGGCACCGUUGAAAAUGGCGUCGAUGAGAGAAGAAAUGAAAAGCUGUUGAUUGGGAAAAGGAUAAAAAGCGCCAAAACAACGAUCACUGUUGAUUUCAUGUUUUUUUGUCUACUUUAUUUAUCUUCUAUCACAUUAAUGGUUCAUCGCUCAUUCACUUUCAUCACCUUUAACUGAGCUUCUUCAAUUCAUUAACAUCAUGUUUGGAUCACAGUUUGUUUUUUUGAUCCUUCUGUUGUCUUCUUUUGGUGCUUUUCAAUCUGUUUUACUUGUGUGUUUUGUGACUAAAAACAAAAGGUUAACAUCUUUUUGGAUUCACCUUCUAUUGCGAGCAUUUAUUGAUCAUCUUCAUCUUUACUAUUCAGUGGCAAAUUUACAAACAAUGGUCUUCAAUUGGUCUCCCUCCAUUUCAAGUGAUGGAUGAUGUCGGAUGAAAAGUGUAUUGAAGAAGCUUCCAGUUGAUACCUGCCAAUGGAUAAAAGGAUAACAAAAAAAGUAUCUGAUUAACCAAUUAUCGGAAAUAUAAAUGGACCUAACCAACAUGGAAUAAUAACUGUCUCUUUCAAUGGACUUUUACUCUACUCAAGCUAUUGGUUGCUUUUUGUGUGCACAUUGUGAACCGGUUAUAAGUCAUGAUUCAAAGUCAAUCCAUUGAACAAUAUAAUUAACAAUAUAACGGUUUUAUUUAAUUGGAUGAUGGUUCAACUGGUGAAUGGAUCAGAAGUUAAUAUAUCCUGAGAGGAAAUUUAAUUCGUGUUGGAAUCUCAAUUGGAAACAAUUAAUGGUUCAAAAUGUCGCUAAAUAAAGAUUUAACCAUGACUUGCCAAUAUGGACUUGAAGCCAUGAUCAGCCAUUAUCUUACUUCUCCUCUUCGUCUGAUCAUCUUUUUGCCUCUUGUUUCUCAACAAUAAAUUAUACUGCGUUUUAAGGCCAAUCGAUUUAGAGCCCAUCAAUCCAUCUGAUCAACCAUUAAUCUGCCAAAUUAUCUAUCAAAUUAGUCCAUUAAAGUUAGGCCAGUUGAAGAAGGUCGCUAGGCUAUAAGAGUUAUCUUCAUCUUGAUCAUCAUCCUUUUACAAGGUUUUUGUUUUGUUUCAACUCAAGGAAGGAAAAUAAUACGGAGAAGAGCAAAAUAUGAUGAUUGUGAUGAUAAAGAAAGAAAUGAAAAUGGUGAAUCAGGUGAAAAAAUAUAUUGAGAUAGAAAGGCUAAGAUAUUACCGGUUAACCCCGAGAAAUGGAUUGAGAUGGCAAAAAAAGGUGUUGAAGCAGUAAACGAGGCAAAAGAAGAGCAGAUUAAUCAAAAUUGAUGAGUAACCUUAAUGAUUGCUGUUAGUUAAUAAAAUCAAAUGGUUUGGCUUGGAAUCGAUGGUGAUUAGAAUAGUCAACAAGAUCAUUAAAAGUAAAGGUCUAUGGAUCAGUUGGAUUGCUAAUAAUCAUAAGAGAUCAUUUACUGAUCCAUGAGAAGAGAAACAUUGAAUUAACAUGGGAACCAGAAAAAUAAUCAAAAUGGCUUAAUAAAAGGAUUACAUACUGCUAAUGAGGUCAUCAUUAGGACGAUGAACGAACUUUAAAAGUAACAUCAUUAACACUAAGUUGAAGUCCAAUUGGUCGAGCAAUUGACCUUUUCAAAGCUUAACUUUCCACCAUUCACCAUUAACAUUAUCACCAAGCAAAUAAAUAAUAAAAAGAGUACAAUGGUAAAAACUAGUGGAUUAAACAAUCAAGGUGCAGUUACGCAUGAAGGGACGAUAAACAUGAUUGCAAGUAGCAAACGACAAGAUGAUUAAUUAACCCUGUUGUUAACAAAAUCAUCAUUGACGGGGUUGAUCUUGAAUCUAUCUUGAAUGUUUUCAUAACCUAAAGAAAGAUAAGUGAAUAUUUUUCUGGUGUAACUUUGAAUGACAAUUAACUUAAACUUGUCAACCUUGUUUGAUACAAGUAAAAACAAAACAACAACAAUCAAAAAUAAUUGUUUUGUUUGUCUUUCUUUUUCUAGCUCAACACUGGUAACUGGAAUGAUAAACGCUGGUAGUUAUGAGCAUUCAGUAGCAGAAGAAGGUUAAACAAUUUGAAGAUGAUGAUAAUACAAUGGAUAAGACAAUUGUUUUCCAGAUGAGCAACUAUUCACAUUAUGUGCGUUAUUUUAUGUGAAAAUUAUAUGGA